AAAAGGAAAAAGGGGGAAUCCCUCUCUCAACAAUAGUGCAGGGGCGGUGUCACUUGUGCGUUACUACAUGUUGUUUAUAUUCUAUAAAUAAUAAUCUCUUCGGACGAAGCGCUUCGUAUAAUUGUGAUAAAACUUCACUUGGACAACAAUCUGUAUUUAGGAUAAUGUCAUAUUUUAAAAUUUAUGAAAAGCAAAUUAAUUGAUGAAAACAAUAUUGGAAACAAUGCAUUUAUAUAUGUUGCCAGACACUACCUGAUGUAAAAUAGCAAUUAUUAUCUACAGACAUGAACAGCAUCAUUGACAUCACUGAGAACACACUAUGAUGCCAAUAGUACCUCUCAUGCUCUGCUUUUCUUUAUGUUACAGUUAUCAAAAUAUUGUAAUAAAUAUAUUAUACUAUGUUUAACAAUUUUAA